rnacentral:rRNA from 1 species
CCGGCACGGGUGAGUAACACGUAUCCAACCUGCCGUCUACUCUUGGACAGCCUUCUGAAAGGAAGAUUAAUACAAGAUGGCAUCAUGAGUUCACAUGUUCACAUGAUUAAAGGUAUUCCGGUAGGCGAUGGGGAUGCGUUCCAUUAGAUAGUAGGCGGGGUAACGGCCCACCUAGUCUUCGAUGGAUAGGGGUUCUGAGAGGAAGGUCCCCCACAUUGGAACUGAGACACGGUCCAA